GACGAACGCUGGCGGCGUGCUUAACACAUGCAAGUCGAACGGAAACGCCCUGCUUUUGUGGUGUGCUCGAUUGGCGAACGGGGGAGUAACACGUGAGUAACCUGCCCUUGACUUUGGGAUAACUUCACGAAACUGGGGCUAAUACCGUAUAGGAUCUCCUGCUGCAUGGUGGGGGGUGGAAAUUUUCGGCGGUUGGGGAUGGACGCGCGGGUGAUCAGCUAGUUGGUGGGGUAGUUGCUUACCAAGGGUUUGACGGGUAGCCGGCCGGAGAGGGUGACCGGCGACAUUGGGACUACGAUACGGACCAGACUGCUACGGGAGGCAGCAGUGGGGAAUAUUGCACAAUGGGAGGAAGCCUGAUGCAGAAACGCCGCGUGCGGGAUGACGGCCUGCGGGUUGUAAACAGCUUUAGCCUGAGACGAAGCGUGAGUGACGGUAAUGGGUAAAGAAGCACCGGCUAACUACGUG
rnacentral:rRNA from 1 species